AUUGAACGCUGGCGGCAUGCCUUACACAUGCAAGUCGAACGGCAGCACGGGAGCAAUCCUGGUGGCGAGUGGCGAACGGGUGAGUAAUGUAUCGGAACGUACCUUUCAGUGGGGGAUAACGUAGCGAAAGUUACGCUAAUACCGCAUAUUCUGUGAGCAGGAAAGCAGGGGGAUCGCAAGACCUUGCGCUGAUUGAGCGGCCGAUAUCAGAUUAGCUAGUUGGUGAGGUAAAGGCUCACCAAGGCGACGAUCUGUAGCGGGUCUGAGAGGAUGAUCCGCCACACUGGAACUGAGACACGGUCCAGACUCCUACGGGAGGCAGCAGUGGGGAAUUUUGGACAAUGGGCGCAAGCCUGAUCCAGCCAUUCCGCGUGAGUGAAGAAGGCCU
rnacentral:rRNA from 1 species